rnacentral:rRNA from 1 species
GAUGAACGCUAGCGGCAGGCUUAACACAUGCAAGUCGAGGGGCAGCAUAAUGGAUAGCAUUAUCUAUGGUGGCGACCGGCGCACGGGUGCGUAACGCGUAUGCAACCUACCUUUAACAGGGGGAUAACACUGAGAAAUUGGUACUAAUACCCCAUAAUAUCAUAGAAGGCAUCUUUUAUGGUUGAAAAUUCCGAUGGUUAGAGAUGGGCAUGCGUUGUAUUAGCUAGUUGGUGGGGUAACGGCUCACCAAGGCGACGAUACAUAGGGGGACUGAGAGGUUAACCCCCCACACUGGUACUGAGACACGGACCAGACUCCUACGGGAGGCAGCAGUGAGGAAUAUUGGUCAAUGGACGCAAGUCUGAACCAGCCAUGCCGCGUGCAGGAUGACGGCUCUAUGAGUUGUAAACUGCUUUUGUACGAGGGUAAACGCAGAUACGUGUAUCUGUCUGAAAGUAUCGUACGAAUAAGGAUCGGCUAACUCCGUG